rnacentral:rRNA from 1 species
UACGUAGGGGGCAAGCGUUGUCCGGAAUCAUUGGGCGUAAAGCGCGCGUAGGCGGCCCUGUAAGUCCGUUGUGAAAGUCGAAGGCUCAACCUUCGAAAGCCGAUGGAUACUGCAGGGCUAGAGUCCGGAAGAGGCGAGUGGAAUUCCUGGUGUAGCGGUGGAAUGCGCAGAUAUCAGGAGGAACACCAAUAGCGAAGGCAGCGCGCUGGGACGGUACUGACGCUAAGGCGCGAAAGCGUGGGGAGCGAACAGG